rnacentral:rRNA from 1 species
AUCCGGAUUUCCGAAUGGGGAAACCCGGCGGAGCAAUACUCCGUCAUCCUGCGUUGAAUCAAAUAGGCGUAGGAAGGGAACCGCUGAACUGAAACAUCUAAGUAGGGCGAGGAAGAGAAAUCAACCGAGAUUCCGCUAGUAGUGGCGAGCGAACGCGGAAAGGGCAAACCGGAGGAUUUCCGGGGUUGUGGACAAAGCAGCAGUUUAGCGAACGGAUGGGAAGGCCGGCCAAGAGCGGGUGAGAGCCCGUAGGCGAAAGGGAAGCUGUUGAGGGUAUCCAGAGUACCGCGGGACACGUGAAACCCGUGGGAAGCUGGGGGGACCACCCUCCAAGCCUAAAUACUACCUGAUGACCGAUAGAGGAGCAGUACCGUGAGGGAAAGGUGAAAAGGACCCCGGAGGGGAGUGAAAUAGAACCUGAAACCUUGUGCUUACAAGCACUCAAAGCACGUUAAAGGUGAUGAGGUACCUUUUGUAGAAUGGUCCGGCGAGUUAUAGUACUGGCAAGCUUAAGGUAUUCAGUACGGAGCGAGCGAGAGCGAGUCUGAAGGGCGUAAAGUCAGUGCCAUAGACCCGAAACCGGGUGACCUACCAUGGGCAGGUUGAAGUGGAGGGUAAAACUCCAUGGAGGACCGAACCACUCGUUGCAAUGGUGGGGAUGACUGUGGUAGCGGUGAAAUUCCAAUCGAACCCGGAGAUAGCUGGUUCUCCCCGAAAUAGCUUUAGGGCUAGCGUUGAUUUAGAUUCCCGGGGUAAAGCACUGAAUGACUAGGGGGCGAUAAGCUUACUGAACCCUAUCAAACUAAGAAUGCCGGAGAAUUGAUGACGGCAGUCAGACUGUGUGAGAUAAGUUCAUUGUCAAAAAGGGAAACAGCCCAGACCCACAGCUAAGGUCCCAAAUUAUGCUAAGUGGAAAACGAUGUGGAUUGCGAAAACAACCAGGAUGUUGGCUCAGAAGCAGCCACUCAUUCAAAGAGUGCGUAAUAGCUCACUGGUCGAGUGAUUUGCGCGGAAAAUUUAACGGGGCUAAGCAUACACCGAAGCUUGGGAGCAUGUGCGGGGUAGGGGAGCGUUGAAUACGGGGUGAAGUCGAGCGGAAGCGGUGGACUGUAUUCGAAGUGAGAAUGCCGGAAUGAGUAGCGAGAAUUAUGUGAGAAUCAUAAUGGCCGAAAAUCUAAGGUUUCUUGGGGAAGGUUCGUCCGCCCAAGGUAAGCCGGGAGCUAAGGCGAGGCCGAAGGCGUAGUCGAUGCACAUACGGUAGAAAUUCCGUAGCCACCGAACUUUAAACAGGACACUUUCGAAGGGGGACCCGGGCGUUGGUUGACCCGGGCGAAAGGGACCGAAAAUAGUAGGGAAGUAUGCUGAGGGCGAGAAAAGCUGAGGUAUACUAAGGUGCCCGUACCGCAAACCGACACAGGUAGAUGAGGAGAGAAUCCUAAGGCCAACGGGAGAAGGGUUGUUAAGGAACUCGGCAAAAUUGACCCCGUAACUUCGGGAUAAGGGGAGCUCAGGAGAGCCGCAGAGAAUAGGCCCAGCAACUGUUUACCAAAAACACAGGUCUAUGCUAAAUCGAAAGAUGACGUAUAUGGGCUGACGCCUGCCCGGUGCUGGAAGGUUAAGAGGAGGAGCGCAAGCGAAGGUCUGAAUUGAAGCCCCAGUAAACGGCGGCCGUAACUAUAACGGUCCUAAGGUAGCGAAAUUCCUUGUCAGGUAAGUUCUGACCCGCACGAAUGGCGUAAUGAUUUGGGCACUGUCUCAACAGCCCACCCGGCGAAAUUGUAGUACCGGUGAAGAUGCCGGUUACCCGCAACUAGACGGAAAGACCCCAUGGAGCUUUACUGUAGCUUAAUACUGGAAUUCGGUAAUUCAUGUACAGGAUAGGUGGGAGACUGGGAAGCGGGCGUCAGCUUGUGGAGUCACCCUUGGGAUACCACUCUUGAUUGCUGGGUUUCUAACCUGCGGCCUUGAAUCAGGUCGGGGGACACUGUUAGGUGGGCAGUUUGACUGGGGCGGUCGCCUCCUAAAAGAGUAACGGAGGCGCUCAAAGGUUGGCUCAGCACGGACGGAAAUCGUGCAUGAGUGUAAACGCAUAAGCCAGCCUAACUGCGAGACUGACGGGUCGAGCAGUAACGAAAGUUGGAGUUAGUGAUCCGGCGGUAUGUGAGUGGAAAUGCCGUCGCUCAACGGAUAAAAGCUACCCUGGGGAUAACAGGCUGAUCUCCCCCAAGCGUCCACAGCGACGGGGAGGUUUGGCACCUCGAUGUCGGCUCGUCACAUCCUGGGGCUGUAUUCGGUCCCAAGGGUUCGGCUGUUCGCCGAUUAAAGUGGCACGCGAGCUGGGUUCAGAACGUCGUGAGACAGUUCGGUCCCUAUCUGUUGCGGGCGUAAGAGAUUUGAAGGGAGCUGUCCUUAGUACGAGAGGACCGGGAUGGACAUACCGCUGGUGCACCAGUUGUCCUGCCAAGGGCAUGGCUGGGUAGCUACGU